rnacentral:rRNA from 1 species
UACGUAGGGUGCGAGCGUUAAUCGGAAUUACUGGGCGUAAAGCGUGCGCAGGCGGUGAGCUGUGUCCGAUGUGAAAGCCCCGGGCUUAACCUGGGAAUGGCAUUGGAAACUGGCUCGCUGGAGUGUGGCAGAGGGGGGUGGAAUUCCGCGUGUAGCAGUGAAAUGCGUAGAUAUCAGGAGGAACACCGGCGGCGAAGGCGGCCCUCUGGCUCGUUGCUGACGCUGAAACGCGAAAGCGUGGGGAGCAAACAGG